UGGGGUUGGGGGGGGGGUAGAACACAAUCAUAUUUACACACAGGUACAAGACACUCCGGUGAAUGCAUGCAGAACAUACCUACCAUGCCAUCAUUGUGCUUCGUCUUGGAGUUGAAGCAGGCAUUAGUGGAAAGAGACCGGACUUCCUCCUCAGGUCCUUGUUCUGUUGGUGGAAAAUCACUCUCUGUGAUUUAAACUGGGUCCUCAGACGCGAGUGAAGAAGCGAUCUGUGUUUCAGAAGGUACCUGUCCUUCAUGAAGCCUUCAGGGAUCAUGCAGACCGGCUUGCUGAACUCCUUAGCCGGUGAAGGCGGCAUCAUCUCCUGACAGACAGCCAGUCGAAACAAAAUGACAGCUUAAUGCACGGACGACACGAUGUGACGGUCGCCUUCGGAAGGCUAGGUUAAAAAUAAAACCCGAUACCAUUGGCAUAAGUCCGCAAGUCCACCACGGUAACGGGGGAUCUGUAUGGUGAUGGGGAGCUGCUUUGGAAACAUACGGUUAUGGGCUCUCGCCUCCUCCCUAAGUGAUUUCUUCUGGAAGGCAUUACUGCUAGCAGAUUAUAAAGGAGGGUUUUAUUGCCUUUUGCUUUACUGAAACAGUAGGAGUAGGAAAGAUGAUUAGAGUAAUUGAGGUCGUAAAUCAAGCUGCUUCGACUCCGAGAAUCAUCUUGCCGAGGAUUCUUAUUUUAUGUUGCGCCAUUGAUACGCGAGGAGAGCUGGAUCCGUUCAUUUGAUAGAGCAGGGAAGCACAUGUCAAAUAGCUAAUGAAGUUCUCCCCAAAUGGCAGUUUUUGUCCUUUGUCGUCUUCUUUCCACAAAGGGGUAAGAACUACACCUCCGUACACAGUUCAAACAGCAUAUUUAUUUACUCCGGCAGGUCUUUUGUAUUGAUCAUGCAUUUAUUAAGGUGAAAGCUAUAUGUAGUGAGUGACUGGGGGGUUGCUCAUGCCUCUGGAGGCUGGACCUUGGUGAGAAUGCAUUUCUAUUAACAAGAAAAUAAACUAUGUUUAUUAGUAAAAUUCUUGGUUUGCAUGGAAUGGCGUCCAAACAGAACACAUUUAUGGGUGAAGCCUUAUGGAAGGCCAAAAGAUUCAAAAUGUGUUAGCUUUUUUCGCAUUAAUAUGCUCAAAAUUGAUUUGUUAAUACACACAAUUUUUAUAUAUUAAUGAGUAAUAACGCGUUAUCAUGUACAAAAUGUAUGUAAGGCCAAAAUGGUCAAAACAUGCUCAAAAUUUGUGUGUUACCUCCUGCACACCCUACCUGCCUGCCCCUACUGUUUUCUCUCUGGCACGAUUCUGUCGAGCCAUUCCUAUUACUGUACACGUUAGUCUUACCUCUCGGUCCAGCCCUUGUGUGAUUUACUCCAGCUGCCUCUUGUUUGCUCCCUCAUUAGUCCUUGUAAUAAAGUGCUUCCCAGCCCUUUGUUCCUGGCAUUGACAACUGUCUUGUUUGUAGCCUGUCUUUGCCUUAGCCUUCUGUGUUCCUGUUUUUGAUCCCACUUAAUUUAUAUUUAUAUUAAAGAUAAGGAUGACCAUAA